rnacentral:rRNA from 1 species
AGAGUUUGAUCCUGGCUCAGGACGAACGUUGGCGGCGUGCUUAACACAUGCAAGUCGAGCGGUUCUCGUAGUUUACUUCGAGGAUAGCGGCGGACGGGGGGGACGGGUGAGUAACGCGUGGAUAAUCUGCCUGUAAGACAGGGAUAACGCCGGGAAACCGGUGCUAAUACCGGAUAACCUCUUUGGAUCGCAUGAUAUGAAGAGAAAAGGUGGCCUCUUUACAAUGCUACCACUUACAGAUGAAUCCGCGUCCCAUUAGCCAGUUGGUGGGGUAGCAACGAUGGUUAGCGGGUCUGAGAGGAUGAUCCGCCACACUGGAACUGAAACACGGACCAGACUCCUACGGGAGGCAGCAGUGAGGAAUAUUGCGCAAUGGGGGAAACCCUGACGCAGCAACGCCGCGUGAGUGAUGAAGGCCUUCGGGUCGUAAAGCUCUGUCAGUGGGGAAGAAAAAAAUGACGGUACCCAAGGAGGAAGCUCCGGCUAACUCCGUGCCAGCAGCCGCGGUAAUACGGAGGGGGCAAGCGUUGUCCGGAAUUACUGGGCGUAAAGGGCGCGUAGGCGGUUAUUUAAGUGAGUUGUGAAAACUCUGGGCUUAACCCCCGUAUUGCCUUAGAAACUGUCAGGCUAGAGUGCAGGAGAGGGUGGUGGAAUUUCCUGUGUAGCGGUGAAAUGCGUAGAUAUAGGAAGGAACACCAGUGGCGAAGGCGACCACCUGGCCAAAUACUGACGCUGAGGUGCGAAAGCGUGGGGAGCAAACAGGAUUAGAUACCCUGGUAGUCCACGCCGUAAACGAUGAGUGCUAGGUGUCGGGGGUAUCGAGCAAUUCAGUGCUGCAGUUAACGCAAUAAGUAAUCCGCCUGGGGAGUAUGCACGCAAGUGUGAAACUCAAAGGAAUUGACGGGGGCCCGCACAAGCGGUGGAGUAUGUGGUUUAAUUCGACGCAACGCGAAGAACCUUACCAAGGCUUGACAUCCUGUGACAGCUAUAGAAAUAUAGACUUCUUAGUUUACUAAGACACAGAGACAGGUGGUGCAUGGUUGUCGUCAGCUCGUGUCGUGAGAUGUUGGGUUAAGUCCCGCAACGAGCGCAACCCCUACAGCUAGUUGCUAACGCGUAGUGGCGAGGGCACUCUAAAGAGACUGCCGUUGACAAAACGGAGGAAGGUGGGGAUGACGUCAAAUCAUCAUGCCCCUUAUGUCUUGGGCUACACACGUACUACAAUGGCCUGAACAGAGGGAAGCAAAACUGCGAGGUUAAGCAAAAUCUCUAAAGCCGGUCCCAGUUCGGAUUGUAGGCUGCAACUCGCCUACAUGAAGUUGGAAUCGCUAGUAAUCGCAGGUCAGCAUACUGCGGUGAAUACGUUCCCGGGCCUUGUACACACCGCCCGUCACACCACGAAAGUCGGCAACACCCGAAGCCGGUGACUCAACCCGAAAGGGAGAGAGCCGUCGAAGGUGGGGUUGGUAAUUGGGGUGAAGUCGUAACAAGGUAACC